rnacentral:tRNA from 1 species
GGGCGGAUAGCUCAGCGGUAGAGCGUCGCCCUUACAAGGCGAGGGUCGCAGGUUCGAGACCUGCUCCGCCCA